AAAAAAAAACCCGUGGUUUCGUCGUUUCUUACUUUGCUCCCCUAUGGUUUAAAAUGUAUCAAUUUGCCCCUCUGUGGUUUCUUUUUUCUCUUUUUUUUAUCAAUUUCAUUAUUUUUUUUCUUAAAUCAGUGAUAAAGUUAAAAUUAAAGGAUACUAAAGUGAAUAUUUGAUAAAUCUAAAUGGGUAUCUGAAGUUUUUUGUAUAUAAUUUAAUGAAAUAUUAACGAAAAAGCUACCGAAAAGAUAAAAACGAAACCACAGGGGGCAAUUGGAUACUU
rnacentral:lncRNA from 1 species